rnacentral:rRNA from 1 species
AGAGUUUGAUCCUGGCUCAGGAUGAACGCUGGCGGCGUGCUUAACACAUGCAAGUCGAACGGAGUAUUAACUUUGAAUUCUAACGGAUGAAGAGUUGAUACUUAGUGGCGGACGGGUGAGUAACGCGUGGAUAACCUGCCCCAUACCGGGGGAUAACAGCCGGAAACGGCUGCUAAUACCGCAUAAGCGCACGGGAAUGCAUGUUUCUGUGUGAAAAACUCCGGUGGUAUGGGAUGGAUCCGCGUCUGAUUAGCUGGUUGGCGGGGUAGAGGCCCACCAAGGCGACGAUCAGUAGCCGACCUGAGAGGGUGGCCGGCCACAUUGGGACUGAGACACGGCCCAGACUCCUACGGGAGGCAGCAGUGGGGAAUAUUGCACAAUGGGGGAAACCCUGAUGCAGCGACGCCGCGUGAGUGAAGAAGUAUUUCGGUAUGUAAAGCUCUAUCAGCAGGGAAGAGAAUGACGGUACCUGAGUAAGAAGCCCCGGCUAACUACGUG